rnacentral:ncRNA from 2 species
GAACGUCUUCAGGGCGGGGUGCGAUUCCCCACCGGCGGUAGGUGCGCCUGGCGCGCACGAGCCCGCGAGCGCUGCGAGGGGGUGACGCCCACGCAGGUCAGCAGAUCCGGUCCGAUGCCGGAGCCGACGGUUGGUGCCGCAUCCCGGCGCCAGAAAGUCCGGAUGAAAGAAGACGACC